rnacentral:lncRNA from 1 species
UAGAGGCUGUUAACAAGUUUGGAAAGCCAGCUAGGGUCAAGUCUGACAAAGGUGGUGAAAAUGUCUUAGUGGCAGAGUACAUGCUUCAGCAUCAACAAUCAGUUGAUAGACCAUUUAUUGCAGGGAGAUCUGUACAUAAUCAAAGAAUUGAACGGUUAUGGAGGGAAGUGUGGGCUGAUGUUACAAGUUUGUACUAUACAUUAUUCUACAGCAUGGAAAACAACAGUAUUCUGGAUCCGACAAACGAAACACAUUUAAUGUUGCUACACCUUGUGUUUCUUCAUAGAAUACAAGCUCAUUUAGACAGAUUUACCGAAGCACUGAGGCUGGCGUCCACUUAGAACAGAGAACAACAGAACUCCUUUGCAACUUUGGUUGACCAGUAAUCAUGCAACGAGUAUGGAUCAGGACAGUACAAAUGAUUAUGGUAUUGACUACAACCCAGGGGCGUUAAUAACUCAUCCAGAAUCAGUAGUUGUUCCAGACAGCAUGGAAAUCACAGAAAAUCA